CUCGCUGAUCCCUCCCUCUUGACGAACUGUGAUGCCAUUAAUUUGGUGUCGCAGGGAAUCAGGACUGUUACUUUGAAAAAAUUAGAGUCGUUUAAAGCAGGCUUUCGCUUGAAUACAUUAGCAUGGAAUAAUGAAAUAGGACGUUUGAUCCUAUUUUGUUGGUUUCUAGGAUUGACGUAAUGAUUAAUAGGGAUAGUUGGGGGCAUUAGUAUUCAAUUGUCAGAGGUGAAAUUCUUGGAUUUAUUGAAGACUAACUACUGCGAAAGCAUUUGCCAAGGAUGUUUUCAUUAAUCAAGAACGAAAGUUAGGGGAUCGAAGACGAUCAGAUACCGUCGUAGUCUUAACCAUAAACUAUGCCGACUAGGGAUCGGAUGAUGUUAAUUUUUUAAUGACUCAUUCGGCGCCUUACG
rnacentral:rRNA from 1 species